GACGUCGUUACGCCAGUCCUUCGUUGGCCCACUCGCUCUCACACACAGACACACGUAGGUGCAGUUUAGAAUCGCCAACUAAUACGCCAUUGUCAAGCUCGUAUAAAAACUGGAAGAACAUGAAAACCCCACACGGAAAAGUGCACAGGACACCUAUCUGUGGGGCGGCCAACUACAAUGAAAGAGGCAGGAGGGGUUGAUUCUCUUCUCUGCGUUGACCAAAUGUAGAAGAAAAGAUCCAGUGACCUUACUGCAUUAAUGAAAAGCAGUAAGAUCACAUUUUUUCAUGCUGUCUUCCUCUGAUGUCCUUUUCAGUUCUAUAAGGAUUAUAGUUGCCACACAACUGGUCUCAAGUGUACCAUCUGAAAAGUCAACUCAAGAAGAAAAUAGCGCUACAUAAGAAAUAGCAUUGUGUGAAAGUAAGAUUUUUGAUGGUUAUGUAAGCUCUGAAUAUGCAACUGGAUGCACAGGUAGAUCCCGACUUCAGUA